rnacentral:misc_RNA from 1 species
ACACCGACGCUGCAGCAUGCCGGCGCGACCUGCGCGCGUGGAACAGUGAGACGCACACACAUACACACGGGUGCACGAUCCCUGACGGUACCCUUCUCUCUCAUUGGCGCGGAAGCCCGUCCGUCUCACGCGCUUGUGAUUGUGCGACACAGCGGCGCUUCGCUGCGACGCUCGCACGCCUCUCCUCUUGCUGUUUUGCUGGGCCUCCUUCAGCGUGGCGGAUGCCGAGCACCGCUCUACCCUUCCCUCUUUCUGUCUUGGCGCCCACGUAGACUUGGCUUGCGUGCGGAGAAUUGCUGCGGAGGGACUCCAGUGGCGCCGCUGUCGUGCUCAUCGUGGCAGCCAGCGCGUGUCUUCUUGUCUGCGUGCGUGCUCAUCUGCUCUUGUCGACGUUGAUGUGGCUGUUGCAAGCACGGCUGUAUACAUAGCUUGCUGCAGACACUCUACGCAUCCCUUGCGGCACUCCCCAGAGCACUCGCUGGAUGUUUUCGAUACCGCCUCUGGUGCCGCUUCUCCUUUAGCCGUCGCUGGACCGUGGACUGGCUCGGGUUUCUUUGCUCGGGGGGGGUGGGGUGAGGGGUGCUGGGCGAUGGGUCUGUGGAACGAUUUCGUUGCCGGCACUGCUGGCGGGUGUGCAGGGGUGCUGAUCGAGCACCCAUUCGACACCAUCAAGGUGCUCCUGCAGACUUACGGGGGCACACGGUACACUGGCUACACGGACUGCGUCACUAAGCUGUUUCGACAAGAUGGUGUCAUAGGUUUCUACCGCGGCGUCACGGCACGCCUUUUCGCCUCCGGCUUCGAGCACGCGUGGGUGCUCGCGACGUACAAGUGGACGCUGCGCUUGAUCGGUGCGGGUGAUCGGCCCACUCUACCGCAGAUUCUACUGGGCGGGUGCGGCAGCGGCGUGGCAGCGACGUUGUGCUUGACACCGUUCGAAUUGGUGAAGUGUCGCCUGCAGGCCGAUGAUUCCAAGGGCCAGCGACGGUACCGCGGCUCGCUAGACUGUGCCCAGCAGGUUGUUCGUGAGCACGGCUUCAAAGGGUUAUACAAGGGCGGAUUUGCCAUGCUCUGCCGCGAGGUGCCCGGCUCGGUGGCGUGGUGCGGCACGUACGACACGCUGAAGAGCUGGAUGACACCAGAGGGCGUGCCGACGCAGAGCCUGCCGCUGUGGAAGCUGAUGAUCGCUGGUGGUUGCAGCGGCGUUGCCUUCUGGACAGCCUUCUACCCCUCUGACCUGGUCAAGACUCGCAUCCAAGUAGACCCUGCGUACGAAAAGCUGAGCCUCUGGGGGGCGAUGACGCGCGUGUAUCAGAAGGAAGGCCUGCGCGCCCUCUAUCGAGGCUGGACCCUCACGGCCGCCCGUUCCUUCCCUUCUAACGCAGUUAUCUUCGGCGUCUUUGAUAGCUGCAACCGCGCGCUGUCCCGUGAGUCCACACUGACGGCAGAUGUGCCAUCCACGUUGAGUGGGCAUGGCGGAGCCUUGUGAUGGCACUCCCGGCGCAGCUGGACGGUGUGUCGGCUCACUGCUUCGAUGUGGAUCUUCGUCUGUUUGACCUUUCUCCACCCCCACGAUGAUGACGAGGGGGGGGGGAGUGUCUAAGGGCGCGAUAUCACAGUGCUCAGCACACCCGCUCUGUGUGCGGAGAGGCCAGCCCCUCCCCCCUCCUAUAUCCCUGCCAGUGCCGAACCGCUUCUCUUGGUGACAGGGUGAAGUGGCGACGGCGUACGGGGAGGGGGGAGCUCCGUGCGCGGUGUCGCUGCCGCUGUCCGGUCGCGGGUGGAGUUGUGCGUCGCGGCGACCGGCGACAGUGUGAGCACGUGUGUGCCAUUUGUAUGUGGUGUGCAAGUCCGCCAUGCGCCUCGAGCGUAUCCCACCUGGCCGUCACACUGCCUACUGCUGGUGUGUGUGUGUGUGGGGGGGGUGGGGCUGCGCCACGCCGAGGGGGAUGCACGAGGUAGCGACCGGCAUGAUGGGGGAGCGUCUGCGCGGCGACCUGCGGAGCGGGUGGUGGGCCGGCAGAGCUCGAGGCAGAGGCCGUGCUCUCGGAUGAGAGGGUCGCUGCAUUGCUGUAGCGUGUGUGCCCAGGGCUGCCAUUACACGAGGCGGGGGGGCCUGUGACAGGCCCUCUGUGUGUGUGUGGGGGGGCGAGUGGCGCUGGAGCCAUGCCGCCAUGGCAGCUAGAUGGGCGCGACGCAGCACGGGCAGUGCUUCGUUUUCGCUAAUUGAUUUGGCGGAGGUUAGUAUGUUUGUGCUUGUGGGUGUCGCGCGUUUCUCUCGAUCGAAGUUGGCGAAAAUUAUCUCCCGUGUUGGUGAACGAGAGCCUCUUGCUGCCGCCAAAUCCGUGGCCGGUGCCGCCUCCUCGCAGAGCGCGACUGAGUGUGUUGCUGCCAGCACCGUCUAAAGGCGGGGUAGGAUGAUGGCUCUUGCGCACAGUCACCUGCACGUAUUCUGUUGUUUCCGUUGCGCUCUUUGUGAUUCGCCAAAGGCCUCCCUUUUCUU